rnacentral:rRNA from 1 species
CUGGACAGCGGCGAAAGGGAGAGUAACGAGUAGAUACGUACCCAGGGGUUCGGGAUAGUCUCGCGAAAGUGAGUUUAAUACCGAAUAAUGUCUCCGGACCAAAGAUUUAUUGCCCUUGGAGCGGUCUGCUUACUAUUAGCUUGUUGGUGGGGUAAAGGCCUACCAAGGCGAAGAUGGUUAGCGGGUGUGAGAGCAUGACCCGUCUCACUGGGACUGAGACACUGCCCAGACACCUACGGGUGGCUGCAGUCGAGAAUCUUCCGCAAUGGACGAAAGUCUGACGGAGCGACGCCGCGUGAUGGACGAAGGCCCUCGGGUUGUAAACAUCUGUCGUAGGGGAGGAAAUUUUGACCGAUCCUAGGAGGAAGCGCAGGCUAAGUUCGUGCCAGCAGCCGCGGUAAUACGAACUGCGCGAACGUUAUUCGGAAUCACUGGGCUUAAAGGGUGCGUAGGCGGCUUUGUAGGUCAGAUGUGAAAGCCCACGGCUCAACCGUGGAAUUGCGUUUGAAACCACAAGGCUUGAGGGGGUCAGAGGAGAGCGGAACUGAUGGUGGAGCGGUGAAAUGCGUUGAUAUCAUCAGGAACACCGGUGGCGAAAGCGGCUCUCUGGGACCUUUCUGACGCUGAGGCACGAAAGCCAGGGGAGCGAACGGGAUUAGAUACCCCGGUAGUCCUGGCUGUAAACGAUCUGUACUAGUCCGUGGGGGCUCCCACACCUUCUCGGACGUAGCGAAAGUGUUAAGUACAGCGCCUGGGGAGUAUGGUCGCAAGGCUUGAACUCAAAGGACUCGACGGGGGCUCACACAAGCGGUUGGAGGAUGUGGCUUAAUUUCGAGGCUACUCGAAGAACCUUUACCUAGGCUUAACAUGUUUGAGUACGCCUUGUGAAAGCAGGAAGUGCCCUUCGGGGAACUCUUACGUAGGUGCUGCAUGUCUGUCGUCAGCUCGUGUCGUGAGAUGUCGGGUUAAGUCCCUUAACGAGCGAAACCCUUAUCCUUAGUUGCCAGCGAGUAAAGUCGGGGACUCUAAGGUAGACUGCCGGUGUUAAACCGGAGGAAGCUGGGGAUGACGUCAAGUCCUCAUGGCCUUUAUGCCUAGGGCUGCACACGUCCUACAAUGCAACGUACAAAGCGAUGCUAAAUCGUGAGAUCACGCAAACCGCAUAAAACGUUGCUCAAGUUCGGAUUGCAGGCUGAAAUUCGCCUGCAUGAAGCCGGAAUCGCUAGUAAUCGCGGGUCAG